AAAAAGACAAAUCCUGGUUUCCGUGUCCAACGUUUGACCAUCCGUCUUAUUUAAAAAAAUUAUGAAAAAAAAAUUAAAAAGACAAGUCAUGCAUAAAAUAUUAAUAAUGUUUUAUCAUCUAACAACAAUGAAAAUACGAAUUAUAAAAAAAUUUUAUAUAAGACGGACAGUUAAAGUUGGACACAAAAAUACAGGGUUUGUUUUUCU
rfam:Oryza sativa (indica cultivar-group) chromosome 2, whole genome shotgun sequence.